rnacentral:rRNA from 1 species
CAUGCAAGUCGAACGAAGUUAGGAAGCUUGCUUCUGAUACUUAGUGGCGGACGGGUGAGUAAUGCUUAGGAAUCUGCCUAGUAGUGGGGGAUAACUUGGGGAAACUCAAGCUAAUACCGCAUACGACCUACGGGUGAAAGGGGGCGCAAGCUCUCGCUAUUAGAUGAGCCUAAGUCGGAUUAGCUAGUUGGUGGGGUAAAGGCCUACCAAGGCGACGAUCUGUAGCUGGUCUGAGAGGAUGAUCAGCCACACUGGGACUGAGACACGGCCCAGACUCCUACGGGAGGCAGCAGUGGGGAAUAUUGGACAAUGGGCGAAAGCCUGAUCCAGCCAUGCCGCGUGUGUGAAGAAGGCCUUUUGGUUGUAAAGCACUUUAAGUGGGGAGGAAAAGCUUAUGGUUAAUACCCAUAAGCCCUGACGUUACCCACAGAAUAAGCACCGGCUAA